AUCGAACGCUGGCGGAAUGCUUUACACAUGCAAGUCGAACGGCAGCACGGACUUCGGUCUGGUGGCGAGUGGCGAACGGGUGAGUAAUGUAUCGGAACGUGCCCAGUCGUGGGGGCUAACGUAGUGAAAAUUACGCUAAUACCGCAUACGAUCUAUGGAUGAAAGCGGGGGAUGGCAAGACCCCGCGCGAUUGGAGCGGCCGAUAUCAGAUUAGGUAGUUGGGGGGGUAAAGGCCCACCAAGCCAACGAUCUGUAGCUGGUCCGAGAGGACGACCAGCCACACUGGAACUGAGACACGGUCCAGACUCCUACGGGAGGCAGCAGUGGGGAAUUUUGGACAAUGGGCGAAAGCCUGAUCCAGCCAUUCCGCGUGCAGGAUGAAGGCCCUCGGGUUGUAAACUGCUUUUGUACAGAACGAAAAGGUUUCUACUAAUACUAGGAGCUCAUGACGGUACUGUAAGAAUAAGCACCGGCUAACUACGUGCCAGCAGCCGCCGUAA
rnacentral:rRNA from 1 species